AUCGGAUAAAGUGAAACUGGACAACUUUUGCCCCCUUCACCCGCAUUGGUCACUACAGAUAAAAAAGAGUGUGGAUAAGUUCGAGACCAUCUCGGGAUGGCGGGUGGACCGAUCCGGAGAAGUAGGAGGAGAGU
ensembl:ncRNA C52B11.6 ncRNA